rnacentral:rRNA from 1 species
GUUGGUGGUCUAGCGGUGGGGGUACACCCGUUCCCAUUCCGAACACGGAAGUUAAGCCUGCCUGCACCGAUGGUACUUCUUAUGAGGGAGAGUAGGUCACCGCCAACU